CUUUCCAGACCUUUUGCCUUCCAUGAAAUAUAUGAGCUCUGUCAUUUUUGUGAGUGCAACCCAGCUACCAGAAAAUCCUUCCGAAUAAAUCACAUAAUCGCCCGAUAAUUUAUCACCAUCAUCGCUCUUCUGCUCAAAAAACCUCUGCUUCUUCAACUUGUUUAGUGCGGAACUUGAUACACCUCUGGGAACCAUCUUACCAGAGAAUCAAGAGGUUAAUUAAUUUAUUCUUCUAGAAGCCUUUUUCUGUUAGUCAGUUCAGCUAGUAGUUUUAGCAAGCGCUUAGUAAGCCGAUUUGUUAGUUUAGCUUAUUAACUAAUUCUGUUUCUUCCCGCCUUCAUUCUUUUGUAUAUAAACAAGCUCAUUAGUUCAUAUCAAUUCAAGAUUCAGUUUUAUCCAUUCAUUUCAUUUUGUAAUAAACCACUUGUUGGUGCUCUUCGUCUAUUAACAUCGUCAGAUUAAUGGGAUCUUCAUCAAUCAAGUCUUCAUGCGUAAGCCCCAUGUCGGCCACCACAAGAAACCCAAGUAAGGUUGCUUAUUGGUUAUGAAAACAAUGAAGCAAGAAAUGAGAUAAGCCAAGAAAUCGCGUAGUAGGUCAUCAAGAUUGAAGAAAGAGAAAAGGUCAUCAAGAUGGCUUUUGCAGGGUGGCUGAUCAAAUAGGUGAUGAUAAGAAUGAAUCUGGAAGAGGAAAGAGGAGGUUGGAGCAGUUGGGUUGGCUUGAAUCUCGAUCAGGUCUCCUUCAAGGUUUCUGAGCAAUUCUCUGUAAUUGAAGUGGAAGCGAAGCUCGAGAAAGUAAAUGGGUGGCUGCAUGGGAUGUGGAAACAUACUUGUAGAAUUUAGGUUGACGUCAAUUCUUCUGGCAGGCAUCUUGAAAGCUCAUUGUCACUGAAACCCACCGAGUAUUGGGAGAACAGAUGAUCGAUGCAUUUUCUUGCUUAUGGGGGUUUAUAGAUAGGUGUGGUUAGGGUCUGAAAUUGAACUUUUUCAUUGUUUUCCUGCCCUUACCAGGAAAAGAAGGAUAUGGUAUCUCUCGUGUCCUUGCUGCUAGGAUGUCCGUUGGUUUCAUAAUCCAUCUGGUAUAUGGAGUUUCCGACAUGUCUUAGUAAGGAUCACUUGUGGUCUAAUCGGACGGACGCCAAUAGUGGCCCAAUAUAUAAGCAGAAAAUUUAAUAUAAACUUCAUUAUACCCUCGCCUUAUUGCUCGGUGUCCUCCAGGAGACGGUUCUUGCUUUGACAUCCCAACAGCUGCGACAAAUUGGGGUUUCGGGCCGUAAAGCCAGUUAGUUAUAUUCAUGAUCUUGCAAGAAAGUAUCACAAUGGGAUCUUGUCCGAUUCCGCAAUUGUAAAUAUGGAUGAUAAGUCCCUUAGACUAUGCUUACUGCAGUUAACGGCAUUGGCCCUUGGUCGGUGCACAUGUGUGAUUUUUUGGCUGCAUAGACCGGAGGUGUUGCCCAUUAACGAUCUUGGGGUGCGCAAAGUGGUGAUGUUGCUGUACAAUUUGGAAGCGUUGCCCCUUCCGUCGCAGAUGGAUGAAUUGUGCGACAAAUGGAGGCCUUGCAGGUCAGUGGCGUCUUGGUAUCUUUGGAGAUAUGUGGAGGCAAACGGUCGCCUUCAAGUGCAAGUGCUGCGAUUUAGAGACCCAGCACGCGUUUUCAAGUGAUUUGGAACGCAAAUGUCUUGCGUUUUAGAGCGUGCGAUCUGGAUCGUGGAUUCCAGGGGGUUAGGAGAAUCUGGCAACUGGUGCUAGUAUGAAACAGCAACUGCAGGAGGAACAGCGGCACCAGCUGCAACCUCAACUUUUCGACCAAUUAAUAGCAUUAUCAACCUCGGGGAUGGCCUCUGCUUGGGGACAAUGUUUGGGACUUGGGACAGUUAGUUGAUAAUCUCUAUCAAGCAAUCAUUUCAGAAGUGCUUACAGAGCAGUGCAAAGAAGUUACUGGUUACUCAUGGUAGGCUUGGACAUUCGAAAAGUUAAAGAGAGGUGUAUUUUAUCUAGUAAACAUGCUUCAAAAUAAGACUACAAUUGUUGAUGUUCUGUUGUCUUUGUCAAGAGACUGUUUUGUUAUCAAACUCUUACAGGAGAAUAUAGAGUUAAAAGAGUAUCACCGUUUGCCUUUA